UGGCCAUAUGAUGACUAUAUGAUGGCCAUAUGAUGGGUUUAUGAUGAUUAUAUAAUGGGAUUAUGAUGGUUAU